rnacentral:lncRNA from 1 species
GUGUGACAAGAAGGAGGUGACAAUGUUGUCAACAUUCCACAAUAUACUGUGAUUGAAGUAGACAACAGAAAUGGAAAGAAAACUAAGAAGCCAUAUGUCACUGUGGAUUAUAACGAGAAUAUGGGAGCAGUGGACUUGGCUGAUCAGAUGCUCACUUCUUAUCCAAUGGAGCACAAAAGGCACAAGGUUUGAUAUAAGAAAUUCUUUCACCACCUUCUAAACAUUGCAGUGCUGAACUCCUACAUCAAGAAGGACAAUCCUGAACACACGAUGAGCCAUGCAAACUUCAGAAUGACCUUGAUGGAAAGAAUGCUGGAAAAGCAUCACAAGCCAAGGCAACAACGUCUCUGAGGUCCUCUGUGUUCUGCUGGUGUCACAUCUCUUCGCCUGUCUGGAAGACAUUUCCCCAACAGCAUGCCACCAACAUCAGAGAAACCGAAUGCAGCUGGUGGCUGCAAAGUUUGCUGCUGGCACAACGACGAGAAUGCCAGAUCACCUUUUGUGCAGAAUGUGAUGUUCUGCUUUGUGGUGUUGUGUGCUUUGAAAUUUACCACAUGAAAAA